GGCUUUGUAGUGUAGUGGUUAUCACUUGAGAUUCUGAUUUCGAUAUGAUUUGCGAUGUUCUCAAAACCCAGGUUCGAACCCUGGCAAGGCCU